AACUGCCUGAUGGAGGGGGAUAACUACUGGAAACGGUAGCUAAUACCGCAUAACGUCGCAAGACCAAAGAGGGGACCUUGGGCCUCUUGCCAUCGGAUGUGCCCAGAUGGGAUUAGCUAGUAGGUGGGGUAACGGCUCACCUAGGCGACGAUCCCUAGCUGGUCUGAGAGGAUGACCAGCCACACUGGAACUGAGACACGGUCCAG
rnacentral:rRNA from 1 species